CAACGGGGAUUGCCCCAGUAACGGCGAGUGAAGCGGCAACAGCUCAGAUUUGGAAUCCGGCGCCCCCCCGGGGCGCCCGAGUUGUAAUCUGCAGAGGAUGCUCCUGGCGCGGCGCCGUCCGAGUUCCCUGGAACGGGACGCCGCAGAGGGUGAGAGCCCCGUACGGUCGGACGCCCAGCCUGUGUGGAGCCCCUUCGGCGAGUCGAGUAGUUUGGGAAUGCUGCUCAAAACGGGAGGUAUACGCCUUCUAAAGCUAAAUACCGGCCAGAGACCGAUAGCGCACAAGUAGAGUGAUCGAAAGAUGAAAAGCACUUUGAAAAGAGGGUUAAACAGUACGUGAAAUUGUUGAAAGGGAAGCGCUCGCGGCCAGACUCCGGCCGGGCGGAUCAGCGGGCGCUCGCGCCCGCGCACUCCGCCCUGCCGGGGCCAGCAUCGGCCCGCGGCGGGGGACAAAGGCGCCGGGAACGUGGCUCCCCAGGGAGUGUUAUAGCCCGGCGCGCAACGCCCCGCGGCGGGCCGAGGUGCGCGCGUCCGCGCAAGGAUGCUGGCGUAAUGGCCACCAGCGACCCGUCUUGAAACACGGACCAAGGAGUCGUCCUCGCAUGCGAGUGUUCGGGCGUCAAACCCGUGCGCGGAAUGAAAGUGAACGCUGGUGGGAGCCCUCCCCCCCGGGGGGGGCGCACCGCCGACCGAUCCCGAAGUUCACGGACGGAUUUGAGUAGGAGCAUGCGGGGCCGGACCCGAAAGAAGGUGAACUAUGCCUGUGUAGGGUGAAGCCAGAGGAAACUCUGGUGGAGGCUCGCAGCGGUUCUGACGUGCAAAUCGAUCGUCAAACAUGGGCAUGGGGGC
rnacentral:rRNA from 1 species